GAGCUUGAGAUCUGAAGGAGUCCCUCAGAUUGAAUUCAUCUUCACUUUGUUAGCAUUUUCAUUCAGUAAAUUGCUAGCCAUAUAUGAUGGGAAAUUC